GACCUAGAGGGAGGGGUUCAACCGUAUUUCACAUGGAGAAGACCUUCAUCUUCUUCAACAGAUUACACAAAACAUGGAGCAGACCUUCAUCUUCUUCUCCAGGACAAACCAUAAGAAGAAUCCCAUGAGAUCUUUUUCUUGAACACAAGACAAAAAGAUACAAAAAACCCUAAAAGAACAGUCAGCUGCCGAAUCAACCUUCACCUGCCGGCGACCACUCCACACACAUCCACGACCAGCUAACUCCUCCAUCUCCAGCCGUCGGCGACCCCUUCAACUCUGGCGAACUGACCUCCUCUCUCUCCGGGCUGACACGAACGACCCCUCGUCUCAUUUUCUUGAAGCUAACGCACACAAAAGCACUCCCAUCCCAACUGUUUCUAGAUCUCAAACAUCCGGGUUCCAUUGCCGGCGAGCUUCACGGGAACCAGCGGAAACUAACCCGAAAAUCCCCUAAAAACCAGCUCGAAAACUAUCCUUUUUUCAUCUCAAAAUGGAACUGAAAAUCAGUCGACCCACAACCAUCGACCCCUCGAUUUGUUUCUCCUACGUACCAGCUGAAACUCACAUAAAAAGGUCACUAUUUUUUCAGCUCUGAAAUCUUACAUUGAAGAUGUGCUCGAAGUCGAGCUUCGCCGGAAACCAGUUAGCUCGUCAUCUUUCAUUCGACUCCAUCAAUUCUAACUGAGGUUCUGGCCGAUUUUGUUGCUGCUCGUAGAGUUUGCUGAUUUUGGGUUGCCGGUUAGAGUUUGGUUCGUGGUUUCGGAUUUGUCUCAUUGUUGUCUCCUUCAUUCAGAUUUACACUUUGGCAAAGCUAUUUCAAUUUUCGGGUACUAAAGAACACUUUCUUAACAGGUGUGGUUCUACGUACCAGGACUCGAGCAUGACAGAAACCCAGGACAAUUGCGUUCAGGAGUUACUUGAGGAGACGUUUUAUAUUUUGAGCCUAUUUUUAAGUCUCUUAGGUGGUUUAAGAGUUUGUCGAGUCUUUCAUUAUCGUACUUUCUGUUUUGUAUUUGAAA